rnacentral:lncRNA from 1 species
GAUUUGGAUGAUGUCAUGAAGUCUCUCUACUUACUUUUUUGGGUUGACCUUCAAAGGGCCAAAUGUUGGGUAUGGGGUAGGCAAGUCUGCCGAGAGCACCCCAGGCUUUCUAAGCCACAAGAAGAGGCACUCAGGGAACAAGAUUUUCUUCUCUCGCUGUCCACUUGUGAAAUCUGGGGAGGGUCUCUGCAGGGUGUGCCGGGGAAGCCAUUACCUGCCAGAGUAGGGGAAGGAUAAUUACCUCCAGGAAAAGGGGGUGCUCUUGUCAGAAAAAGGAGAAAUGGUGUGAGGCAGAUGACAUGUGUCUGCCGUAGUGAGUGACAGCAACCAGAGGCUGGGAGGGUUGCUUAAUAUUUAAAGUUAUGCCAACAUAAUAUGAGAACCUGAGACUCAGUGCAGCCGUGCAGUGUUUGUGUCUCAUUACAGGACACUUGGGUGUGUAUUUGAAUUGACUUGGAAUGAUGGAGUCUAAUGAAUAGAGUUCUGGCAGGGGUGGUGCUGGAGAAGGGAUUUGGGGAUGAAACCAUGUAUUCAGAGGCUCAGAAUUUUAAGGAAAAAUUCAGCCCUUUCUCCUUGUGCGUCAGCAUCUGUUGUUUUUCUUCUAGAACACAAAGUGGCUUGCAGAGCCCAUAUCCAUUUGAAUAAAGACGGAACAACCACUGCAGCAAAAGCUUAGCUGCCAGAUGCUCUGCUUGUUGACUCGGUUGAAUUUCUAUCACCCUCUACAGUCUCUGGGUGAGGACUUCGCUCAUCUGGGGACUCCCGAUAGUUUUGGAAUUAAAAAUUGGAUUCCAAAUGGUAGAGAUGUAAUUCCUAAACACACCGAAAGAGAAUUGCUCCAAAACAGCAAAGAGAACAAGAAACAAAAACACAGGCCCUGUAUUCUUCAAGGGCAGGAGACAUCUGUAAUCUGGAACCACAAUAUAUAUGGAGAUGAGAAACAGAUGGAGGAAUGGUAAGGUGUUUAGCAGAUCUAUGGAAAGUCGAACCUGAAAGCCCGGUGGGGGUUACCAUUGCUAAUCAAGCCCAUUCUCUCUGCAGAACAGAGGGACAUCCUGGGCAUGGGGUCCACGAAGGCAGUGGCUGGGAGUGAGCAUGGCCCUGAAGGCUGUCCUUGCAGCAGAAACGUAAUAAUACUAGUUACCAUCGUGGUGUGCUUGUUGGUACCUGGCUCUUCACAUUCUCUCUUGCAGUCCUCAUGAGAGCAAAAGGUAUUCAUCUUCCCAUUUUACAGAUGCAAAAACUAAGGCUCAGGAGGGUAAAAUCAUUUGUCCCAGACAACAGAGAGAAAGAUACUAAACCAACGUAGCCUUAAUUCUGAAGCCUCACCACCAAAUCCCACCAGUCGGGGCUAUCAUCAGCCCCAGAAAAGGGAACUGAAGGUACCAGAGUGUCUGGUCAGGCGCUGGGGGGGAGAGGCUCCCAGUGUUAACGCAGUUGUCCUCAUUGUCUGUGGCUCUUGCUUGUCUAUUAAAUUGUGAGCUCUUUGAGAGGAGGUGAUUUUCCCCCUCCAGGCCAUAGCAGUGUGAGGGUAAGCAUCUUCUCAGUAAGCAUCUUUUGAAUGAAUGAAUGGAUGGAUGGAGGGAUGAAUGAAUCCAUAUGUUCAGAGGAAGAAGGACUGGACUUGUCAGGAAAGAUGUCAAUGAGGAGGUGAGUCUGCAGCCAGGCCGAAGGUUUGUCAUCCAGGGAUUGAUUCCAUGUUACCAGCGGAAACUUCCGAAGGACAAGACAGUCCCAGAAAGACACUAACUUGAGAGUAAGCCCAGAAAGCAGGCUGAUGACAAUGAACUUUGGUGAGACUGAUGGAGAUAAACGCAUGCCGCGGGGACACCAAAACAGAGCCUUUGUAGGAAACGAGUAAAAAGUCAACUGUGGGUAAAAGAAGUAUCUAGAAACAGAUAUAUGUUCUGAUCCAGAUGGUUGCCACUGACUCUAAAUUCCUAUCUUGCAAAGACAAGGCGAGUUUUCUAAUGCAUUUAUUGUUACUCCAGACAGUCAAUCUGCUCAUUAUUUGUACCCCAGGCUGCUGCAACAGUCUUUACCUACAACCAAAGGCUAUUCAGAAAAGCGUGGAAUUCUUGUUGGCACUGAGCACAUCAGAGUCAUGGGUUCCUUGCCUCCUAUGCUGACAUAUCCAGCGAUCAGGACCAGUUCAAACUAACUUCUGCCCAUGCUACUGACAGGUAAAUUGAACUGAUGGCUAUCCCUUCAUUCAAUAAAUAUUCACGAGCAUGCACCAUAUAGUUCAGCACAGUCCUAAGUGGCAAACAGAGCACUGGAGGUUGAAUGGGGCGGUGAAUAGACAAGGCGCCUGCUCCGUGGACUCUGGUUCUGGUAUCUGCACAAAUGCUCACUUCCUUUAUUGGCGGAUGCUGCUUCCAAGCCCCAAGGUCAGGAAAUUACAACCUGGAGGUCAAAUGCAGCCCACCAUGUGUUUUUGUACAGCCCUUGAGUUAAGUUGGUUUUUGUUUUUGUUUUCAUUUUUUUAAGAGGCUCGGAAAAGCCAAAAGAAAGAUAAUAUUUUGUGACACAUGAAAAUGACAUGAAAUUUAAAUAUCAGUGUCCACAACCAAAGCUUACUUGGAGCACAGCCACGCAGGCUGGUUUAUGUGUUGUCUACAGCUGUCUUCAUGUUACAGCUCAGUCAUUGCCACGGACCGCACGGCUAUUAACCAGAAAGGUCUUCCUAUUUGAUUUUUUAUAGGAAAAGUUUCCUGACCCCUGUUCUAAGCUAACUUUCUCAAAAUGCACUCCAUAACACAUUAUUUCUGAAGAUAUUGUGUUAGAGUUUUUGAGUUCUAUUGUCAACGUAUUUAAACACAAUGAAUUAUAAAAAGUUAUAAGUUUCUCUACUCAGUAUUUUCUCUACUGGGGAGUGUGGCCAGAAUACAUCGUGACCCUCUAAGACAGAGGAUGUGGAGGUCUCCAAACCUGUUCCCUGUUGUUCAGUUGAUAAAUCGUCCCAACUCGUUGUGCCCUCAUGGACUGUAGCACACCUGGCUCCUCUGUCCUCCUCUAUCUCCGGGAGUUUGCUCAAAUUCAUGUCCAUUGAGUGGGUGAUGCUAUCUAACUAUCUCAUCCUCUGCUGCCCCCGUCUCCUUCUGUCUUCAGUCUUUCCGAGCAUCAGGGUCGUAUAUGUGUCUGUUUCCAGCGAAUCUCAUAAUCCAGGCGGUUGUGCACAGCACUCUUUGGGAAAUACUAAACAGAGUUGUUACUCAUAUGCUUUGUGUUAUUUCUGAAACCAGCUGCCAAAAAACCAAAGCAGUAUCACAGCUAGUGAAGUAAGACUUCUGCCCAGAUCUGAAGCCCCUUCCUCUUAAGCAUAGCAUGAUUGUUCUGAAGGGUCCCAGUUUGAUCCCAGCUAAACAAUACCUACCAUCCCCUAUUAAUACCUUUGCAGUUUCCUUUCUCUCACCCUCUAGGUGCCAAGCACAGCACCUCAUGGUACUUCCUGAAGGAUCCUGUUGCCUCAUCGAUCAGUUAAUACCUCCCUAUCACACUUAGAGUGUCCAUAUGCAUCCGGAAAUAAAAACUCUGAGGGGAAGAUCCCAAUCCUCUAGCUGCGGGGUUAUCUUGACGAUGAGCUGUUCUUGAUUUAUUCUGUAACCACACACUGAUUCAUCCACACGUGUGUAUAAAGGGUCUCAGGAAGAGCCCAGGAUGGCUCAGCUGGAGCUCCAACACCCUGGGACACAUCUGGAGAACUGAAGAUUAUUUGCAGGGUUAUCUGGGAGGCCUCCUGGGAGAGCAUUAAGGGACAAAUAAGCCAGGCACAUGAAUUUAACUCAGUUUUUUUUUUUUUUUAAGUUUUCAUCAUUCUGGGGAGGAGCAGUUCUGAGGCUCGUGCGAUCUCCGUCACGUAGAUGAGUCCCCAGCUUCAACACCCUCCUGCUUGAGUCCUGUAAAGGGGUGGCAAACGGGAAAGAGUGUAAAUAAAAACUGAAAGAGGUUUUUCUUGAAAUAUUUUAAAACCUCAAGGCCUGAGUGGCUCUGUUUCUAAACUGAAGGGGGCGUUCUUCCCGCCACGCUGCGAGGUGUCUGUUGGGUAAGAACUCUCCGCCUUGAGGUUGCAGCUACCCCCAAGGCGGGGCGACGCAGUGGCACGGCCUCCUUGGGGCGCUGUUGGCAAAGGCGCAUCCCUGCGCUCCGCCUACGCUUCAGAGCAGCAGUGGGUGGUGUGGAAUCAACAACCACAAAGAGAUCAUCGCGUCUGGUGGAACAGCGGCUAUGAUGGUCACAAGCGGAAGUUCUGGCCGCUGGUGGGAGAGGAGGCCUCUGGUCCUCUCCUCGAGCAGCAGGGGAGGGGCGGCUGCAUCUCCUAGAGUGCAAAGUGAAAGUCAUUCAGAUGUGCCGGACUCUGCGACCCCAUGGUCAAAGCAGUCCAGGGAAUUCUCCAGGCCAGAAUACCGGAGUGGGUAGCCUUUCCCUUCUCCAGGGGGUCUUUCCAACCCAGGGAUCGAACCCAGGUCUCCCAUAUUGCAGGCAGCUCCUUUACCAGCUGAGCCACGAGGAAAGCCCAAGAAUACUAGAGUGGGUAGUCUAGCCCUUCUCCAGGGGAUUUUCCUGACCCAGGGAUCCAACUGGGGUCUCCUGCAUUGCAGGUGGAUUCUUUACCAACUGAGCUAUCAGGGAAGCUCCUAGAGCAAAGGAGACCAUCUAUUGUCCCUCCCAGGAGAGCAGGUGCCAGGAAUCCUUGGCGGUAAUGGGCAUGAGGCUGCCGUUCUGUGUCAGGCUGGUGACCAGUGAGUUUGCAACCUUAGAUCUCACUCCUAGUCUCAGACAGAAGGUGGAGGGGAGGUGGAAAUUUGGAGUUCUUCAAUCUACUCAUGGAGGCACACAUAAACUCACACACUUACGUGCAUUCCUAUCGAGACAUGUACUAUGAGUGUAAAUGCUCACACAUACCCAAGCUAUGCUUGUGUAUGAAACCAUAUGCUGUUAAAAUGAAGUGGAAAUAGGUGAGAGUUGGAUGGGUGUGGGGGGUUAAUUGGGUGAGUCUUGAAGGUCCCAUCAUCCCUGCUUCAACCAGAGAGCUCUGCUUUCAUCUGUUAUAUGCAUUGUGGUGGUGAUGAUCAUUUAGCCAUUUGGUUAUGUCUGACUUUUGUGACCCCAUGGACUGUAGCCCACCAGGCUCCUCUGUCCAUACGCGUUGUGCUUCUACUUAAAGAUUUCUUUUAAUAAAGGGUUCCAUGGCAAAAAAAGAGAAAGAACUUUGGAAAUUCCACUUGAUAUAAUCAAAUUAUUUAUAUUCCUAUUGUUUUAUAAAUGAGAAAAUGGGGACACAGAAGGUUUAAAUGACUCAGCUGAG